AUAAAAAACCAAUGCCCUUCGGGGCUCUCUGGUGAUUCAUAAUAACUUCUCGAAUCGCACGGCCUUGCGCCGGCGAUGGUUCAUUCAAAUUUCUGCCCUAUCAACUUUCGACGGCUGGGUCUUGGCCAGCCGUGGUGACAACGGGUAACGGAGGGUUAGGGCUCGACCCCGGAGAAGGAGCCUGAGAAACGGCUACUACACCCAAGGAAGGCAGCAGGCGCGCAAAUUACCCAAUCCCGACACGGGGAGGUAGUGACAAUAAAUACUGAUACAGGGCUCUUUCGGGUCUUGUAAUUGGAAUGAGUACAAUUUAAAUCCCUUAACGAGGAACAAUUGGAGGGCAAGUCUGGUGCCAGCAGCCGCGGUAAUUCCAGCUCCAAUAGCGUAUAUUAAAGUUGUUGAGGUUAAAAAGCUCGUAGUUGAACCUUGGGCCUAGCCGGCCGGUCCGCCUCACCGCGUGCACUGGCUCGGCUGGGUCUUUCCUUCUGGAGAACCGCAUGCCCUUCACUGGGUGUGCC
rnacentral:rRNA from 1 species